rnacentral:siRNA from 1 species
GCAGCAUUUGCCAAGUUAUGUUGU